rnacentral:misc_RNA from 1 species
GAAAUGCGAUAAGUCAUGUGAAUUGCAGAAUUCAGUGAAUCAUCGAAUCUUUGAACGCACAUUGCGCCCCCUGGUAUUCCGGGGGGCAUGCCUGUUCGAGCGUCAUUUCACCACUCAAGCCUCGCUUGGUAUUGGGCAACGCGGUCCGCCGCGUGCCUCAAAUCGACCGGCUGGGUCUUCUGUCCCCUAAGCGUUGUGGAAACUAUUCGCUAAAGGGUGUUCGGGAGGCUACGCCGUAAAACAACCCCAUUUCUAAGGUUGACCUCGGAUCAGGUAGGGAUACCCGCUAAACUUAAGC